AAAAAGGCAAACCCUGGGUUUCCGUGCCAACGUUUGACUGUCCGUCUUAUAUGAAAUUUUUUUAUAAUUAGUAUUUUAAUUGUUGUUAGAUGAUAAAACAUGAUUAAUACUUUAUGUGUGACUUAUUUUUUAAUUUUUUUUAUAAUUUUUUUAAAUAAGACGGACGGUCAAACAUUGGGCAUAGAAACUAGGGUUUGUCUUUUU
rfam:Oryza nivara chromosome 1, whole genome shotgun sequence.